rnacentral:rRNA from 1 species
GGGAAAGGUAGCUUGCUACCUGACCUAGCGGCGGACGGGUGAGUAAUGCUUAGGAAUCUGCCUAUUAGUGGGGGACAACAUUCCGAAAGGAAUGCUAAUACCGCAUACGCCCUACGGGGGAAAGCAGGGGAUCUUCGGACCUUGCGCUAAUAGAUGAGCCUAAGUCAGAUUAGCUAGUUGGUGGGGUAAAGGCCUACCAAGGCGACGAUCUGUAGCGGGUCUGAGAGGAUGAUCCGCCACACUGGGACUGAGACACGGCCCAGACUCCUACGGGAGGCAGCAGUGGGGAAUAUUGGACAAUGGGCGAAAGCCUGAUCCAGCCAUGCCGCGUGUGUGAAGAAGGCCUUUUGGUUGUAAAGCACUUUAAGCGAGGAGGAGGCUACCGAGAUUAAUACUCUUGGAUAGUGGACGUUACUCGCAGAAUAAGCACCGGCUAACUCUGUGCCAGCAGCCGCGGUAAUACAGAGGGUGCGAGCGUUAAUCGGAUUUACUGGGCGUAAAGCGUGCGUAGGCGGCUUUUUAAGUCGGAUGUGAAAUCCCUGAGCUUAACUUAGGAAUUGCAUUCGAUACUGGGAAGCUAGAGUAUGGGAGAGGAUGGUAGAAUUCCAGGUGUAGCGGUGAAAUGCGUAGAGAUCUGGAGGAAUACCGAUGGCGAAGGCAGCCAUCUGGCCUAAUACUGACGCUGAGGUACGAAAGCAUGGGGAGCAAACAGGAUUAGAUACCCUGGUAGUCCAUGCCGUAAACGAUGUCUACUAGCCGUUGG